rnacentral:rRNA from 3 species
GUCUUUUUGAAUUAAAUUUAAAGUCUAACCUGCCCACUGAAAAUUUUAAAUGGCCGCAGUAUUCUAACUGUGCAAAGGUAGCAUAAUCAUUAGUCUUUUAAUUGAAGGCUGGAAUGAAUGGUUGGACGAAAUAUUAACUGUUUCAUUUAAAUUUUUUAUAGAAUUUUAUUUUUUAGUCAAAAAGCUAAAAUAAAUUUAAAAGACGAGAAGACCCUAUAAAUCUUUAUAUUUUAUUUAUUUUAAUUAUAAAGAUUAUUUUUAUUAUAAUAAAUUAAAAUAUUUUAUUGGGGUGAUAUUAAAAUUUAAAAAACUUUUAAUUUUUAAAACCAUUAAUUUAUGAAUAAUUGAUCCAUUAAUAAUGAUUAAAAAUUUAAGUUACUUUAGGGAUAACAGCGUAAUUUUUUUGGAGAGUUCAUAUCGAUAAAAAAGAUUGCGACCUCGAUGUUGGAUUAAGAUAUAAUUUUGGGUGUAGCCGUUCAAAUUUUAAGUCUGUUCGACUUUUAAAUUCUU